rnacentral:rRNA from 1 species
GAUGAACGCUGGCGGCGUGCCUAAUACAUGCAAGUCGAGCGAACAGACGAGGAGCUUGCUCCUCUGACGUUAGCGGCGGACGGGUGAGUAACACGUGGAUAACCUCCCUAUAAGACUGGGAUAACUUCGGGAAACCGGCGCUAAUACCGGAUAAUAUAUUGAACCGCAUGGUUCAAUAGUGAAAGACGGUUUUGCUGUCACUUAUAGAUGGAUCCGCGCCGCAUUAGCUAGUUGGUAAGGUAACGGCUUACCAAGGCGACGAUGCGUAGCCGACCUGAGAGGGUGAUCGGCCACACUGGAACUGAGACACGGUCCAGACUCCUACGGGAGGCAGCAGUAGGGAAUCUUCCGCAAUGGGCGAAAGCCUGACGGAGCAACGCCGCGUGAGUGAUGAAGGUCUUCGGAUCGUAAAACUCUGUUAUUAGGGAAGAACAAAUGUGUAAGUAACUAUGCACGUCUUGACGGUACCUAAUCAGAAAGCCACGGCUAACUACGUG